rnacentral:rRNA from 1 species
UACGAAGGGUGCGAGCGUUGUUCGGAAUUACUGGGCGUAAAGGGCGCGUAGGCGGCCGAUCAAGUUAGAUGUGAAAGUCCUGGGCUUAACCUGGGGACUGCAUUUGAUACUGAUUGGCUUGAAUUCGGGAGAGGAUAGCGGAAUUCCCAGUGUAGAGGUGAAAUUCGUAGAUAUUGGGAAGAACACCGGUGGCGAAGGCGGCUAUCUGGACCGACAUUGACGCUGAGGCGCGAAAGCGUGGGGAGCAAACAGG